GACAAAAUUACAAGCUCACUAGCCUCUCAUAUACAAGAAAAAAUAUAUAUAUACAAAUUUCUCUUUGUGGGUUCUAAAGUAUGGCAAAGGACGCUGGAGUGGCGGAGCAUGGAUCGUUCGCGGCAAAGGACUACCAAGAUCCACCACCAGCUCCGCUGAUUGACGCGGAGGAGCUUACAAAGUGGUCAUUUUACAGAGCUGUUAUAGCCGAGUUUAUAGCCACCUUGCUCUUCCUUUACAUUACGGUUUUGACUGUGAUUGGGUACAAGAGCCAGAUUGAUACCACGGUUGGCCACGGCGGUGAUCAGUGCGGUGGCGUUGGAAUUCUUGGUAUUGCAUGGGCCUUUGGUGGAAUGAUCUUCGUUCUUGUCUACUGCACCGCUGGAAUUUCCGGUGAGUUUUGUCUAUUCGCACACAGAUACAUGCAUCCAUGUAUGGUUUGAUUUUAAUGGCAUUUCUCAUGUCAUGUCAUGUGCAUCUCAGGGGGACACAUUAAUCCAGCAGUGACAUUCGGGCUUUUCUUGGCCCGAAAGGUGUCAAUGAUCAGAGCCAUUAUGUAUAUGGUGGCUCAGUGUUUGGGGGCCAUUUGUGGCGUCGCGCUGGUGAAGGCGUUACAGAAGUCACACUAUAAGAAAUAUGGCGGCGGCGUAAAUGAGCUCGCCGAUGGCUACAGCACCGGCGUCGGAUUAUCCGCGGAGAUAAUCGGAACAUUCGUCCUUGUUUACACAGUUUUCUCUGCCACUGAUCCCAAGAGAAGUGCCAGGGAUUCCCAUGUCCCUGUAAGUUGACAUACACAAUUCUCUCUUUUUUUUUUUUUUGCCUUUUGAGAAGUGCAUGUUUGGCUAACCUUAAAAAAUUUACUUAUAACUGAAUAAGUAUUAAAAUAAUUUUUUGGGGGGUCCAAGUGGAAAAUAAUUUACUUAUGUAUUAGUAGCUUUACUGACAAUAUUCCUUAAAAGUAAUUUAAUAUUGACAAUGUUUGCAUUUGGACUUCAAUCUUAGGUAUUGGCACCUCUUCCAAUUGGAUUUGCAGUUUUCAUGGUUCAUUUGGCCACCAUCCCCAUCACUGGUACUGGUAUCAACCCUGCUAGGAGUUUAGGGGCUGCAGUGAUCUACAACCAGGAAAAAGCUUGGGAUGAUCAGGUUAGCAUUUUUCCCAAUGUAUUAUAAAUUAGAUUUAACUAUAGGAAUAAUGUUUUGCGCCAUUUCAUUCACUUUAUUUAUUGCUAAUUCUUCUCGAAA
rnacentral:lncRNA from 1 species